rnacentral:rRNA from 1 species
GAUUCUGGCUCAGAACGAACGCUGGUGGCGUGUCUAUACAUGCAAGUCGAGCGAGGCAGCAAUGCCGAGCGGCGAACGGGUGAGUAACGCGUAAGCAAUCUGCCCCAUAUCAGGAAAUACCCGUGCCAACGCGCGGUUAAUGUCCAGGAGAGUGGCCCUCCGCAUGGAGGGCUGACUAGAGAUUCAUCGGUAUGGGAUGAGCUUGCGUCCGAUUAGCUAGUUGGCGGGGCAACGGCCCACCAAGGCGACGAUCGGUAGCCGGCCUGAGAGGGUGAUCGGCCACAUUGGGACUGAGAUACGGCCCAGACUCCUACGGGAGGCAGCAGUAGGGAAUAUUGCACAAUGGGGGAAACCCUGAUGCAGCAACGCCAACCGUGUGGGAAGAAGCAUUUCGGUGUGUAAACCACUGUCAUGAGGGAAUAAGGCCCGCCUUCGGACGGGAUUGAAUGUACCUUGAGAGGAAGCACCGGCAAACUUCGUGCCAGCCGCCGC